GUCCACGCCGUAAACUAUGGAUGCUAGGCGUUGGCAGUAUCGACCCUGUCAGCGUCGUUCAACCAAGGUAACCCCUUAAGCAUCCCGCCUGGGAAGUACGGCCGCAAGGCUAAAACUCAAAGGAAUUGACGGGAACCCCGCACAAGCGGUGGAGCAUGUGGUUCAAUUCGACGGUAAGCGAAGAACCUUACCAAGGCUUGACAUGCCGACGUCCUAUCUCUUGGAAACAGGAGAAAUUCGCAAGAAGGUCGGUACAGGUGCUGCAUGGCUGUCGU
rnacentral:rRNA from 1 species